rnacentral:rRNA from 1 species
AAUCAACGCUGGCGGCGUGCCUCAGACAUGCAAGUCGAACGAUUAAGACUCCCUUCGGGGAGUGCAUAAAGUGGCGCACGGGUGAGUAACACGUAAGUAAUCUACCUUUGAGUGGGGAAUAACAACCGGAAACGGUUGCUAAUACCGCAUAAUGCAGCGGCACCGCAAGGUGACAGUUGUUAAAGUUUUAUCGCUUAAAGAGGAGCUUGCGGCAGAUUAGCUAGUUGGUAAGGUAAUGGCUUACCAAGGCUACGAUCUGUAACCGGUCUAAGAGGACGGUCGGUCACACUGACACUGAAUAACGGGUCAGACUCCUACGGGAGGCAGCAGUCGGGAAUUUUGGGCAAUGGGCGAAAGCCUGACCCAGCAACGCCGCGUGAAGGAUGAAGUAUUUCGGUAUGUAAACUUCGAAAGAAUGGGAAGAAUAAAUGACGGUACCAUUUAUAAGGUCCGGCUAACUACGUGCCAGCCGCCGCAGUAACAC